rnacentral:rRNA from 1 species
GGGUUGUGAGGUUAAGCGACUAAGCGUACACGGUGGAUGCCCUGGCAGUCAGAGGCGAUGAAGGACGUGCUAAUCUGCGAAAAGCGUCGGUAAGGUGAUAUGAACCGUUACAGCCGGCGAUGUCCGAAUGGGGAAACCCAGUGUGAUUCGUCACACUAUCGUUAACUGAAUACAUAGGUUAACGAGGCGAACCGGGGGAACUGAAACAUCUAAGUACCCCGAGGAAAAGAAAUCAACCGAGAUUCCCCCAGUAGCGGCGAGCGAACGGGGAGCAGCCCAGAGUCUGAAUCAGCUUGUGUGUUAGUGGAACGGUCUGGAAAGUCCGACGGUACAGGGUGAUAGUCCCGUACACCAAAAUGCACAGGCUGUGAACUCGAAGAGUAGGGCGGGACACGUGGUAUCCUGUCUGAAUAUGGGGGGACCAUCCUCCAAGGCUAAAUACUCCUGACUGACCGAUAGUGAACCAGUACCGUGAGGGAAAGGCGAAAAGAACCCCGGCGAGGGGAGUGAAAAAGAACCUGAAACCGUGUACGUACAAGCAGUGGGAGCACCUUCGGGUGUGACUGCGUACCUUUUGUAUAAUGGGUCAGCGACUUAUAUUCUGUAGCAAGGUUAACCGUAUAGGGGAGCCGCAGGGAAACCGAGUCUUAACUGGGCGUUAAGUUGCAGGGUAUAGACCCGAAACCCGGUGAUCUAGCCAUGGGCAGGUUGAAGGUUGGGUAACACUAACUGGAGGACCGAACCGACUAAUGUUGAAAAAUUAGCGGAUGACUUGUGGCUGGGGGUGAAAGGCCAAUCAAACCGGGAGAUAGCUGGUUCUCCCCGAAAGCUAUUUAGGUAGCGCCUCGUGAAUUCAUCUUCGGGGGUAGAGCACUGUUUCGGCUAGGGGGUCAUCCCGACUUACCAACCCGAUGCAAACUACGAAUACCGAAGAAUGUUAUCACGGGAGACACACGGCGGGUGCUAACGUCCGUCGUGAAGAGGGAAACAACCCAGACCGCCAGCUAAGGUCCCAAAGUCAUGGUUAAGUGGGAAACGAUGUGGGAAGGCACAGACAGCCAGGAUGUUGGCUUAGAAGCAGCCAUCAUUUAAAGAAAGCGUAAUAGCUCACUGGUCGAGUCGGCCUGCGCGGAAGAUGUAACGGGGCUAAACCAUGCACCGAAGCUGCGGCAGCGACACUAUGUGUUGUUGGGUAGGGGAGCGUUCUGUAAGCCUGCGAAGGUGUGCUGUGAGGCAUGCUGGAGGUAUCAGAAGUGCGAAUGCUGACAUAAGUAACGAUAAAGCGGGUGAAAAGCCCGCUCGCCGGAAGACCAAGGGUUCCUGUCCAACGUUAAUCGGGGCAGGGUGAGUCGACCCUAAGGCGAGGCCGAAAGGCGUAGUCGAUGGGAAACAGGUUAAUAUUCCUGUACUUGGUGUUACUGCGAAGGGGGACGGAGAAGGCUAUGUUAGCCGGGCGACGGUUGUCCCGGUUUAAGCAUGUAGGCUGGUUGUCCAGGCAAAUCCGGAUAAUCAAGGCUGAGGUGUGAUGACGAGGCACUACGGUGCUGAAGUAACAAAUGCCCUGCUUCCAGGAAAAGCCUCUAAGCAUCAGGUAACAUCAAAUCGUACCCCAAACCGACACAGGUGGUCAGGUAGAGAAUACCAAGGCGCUUGAGAGAACUCGGGUGAAGGAACUAGGCAAAAUGGUGCCGUAACUUCGGGAGAAGGCACGCUGGUGUGUAGGUGAAGUCCCUGCGGAUGGAGCUGAGACCAGUCGAAGAUACCAGCUGGCUGCAACUGUUUAUUAAAAACACAGCACUGUGCAAACACGAAAGUGGACGUAUACGGUGUGACGCCUGCCCGGUGCCGGAAGGUUAAUUGAUGGGGUUAUCCGUAAGGAGAAGCUCUUGAUCGAAGCCCCGGUAAACGGCGGCCGUAACUAUAACGGUCCUAAGGUAGCGAAAUUCCUUGUCGGGUAAGUUCCGACCUGCACGAAUGGCGUAAUGAUGGCCAGGCUGUCUCCACCCGAGACUCAGUGAAAUUGAACUCGCUGUGAAGAUGCAGUGUACCCGCGGCAAGACGGAAAGACCCCGUGAACCUUUACUAUAGCUUGACACUGAACAUUGAGCCUUGAUGUGUAGGAUAGGUGGGAGGCUUUGAAGCGUGGACGCCAGUCUGCGUGGAGCCAACCUUGAAAUACCACCCUUUAAUGUUUGAUGUUCUAACGUUGGCCCCUUACCGGGGUUGCGGACAGUGUCUGGUGGGUAGUUUGACUGGGGCGGUCUCCUCCCAAAGCGUAACGGAGGAGCACGAAGGUUAGCUAAUCCUGGUCGGACAUCAGGAGGUUAGUGCAAUGGCAUAAGCUAGCUUGACUGCGAGCGUGACGGCGCGAGCAGGUGCGAAAGCAGGUCAUAGUGAUCCGGUGGUUCUGAAUGGAAGGGCCAUCGCUCAACGGAUAAAAGGUACUCCGGGAUAACAGGCUGAUACCGCCCAAGAGUUCAUAUCGACGGCGGUGUUUGGCACCUCGAUGUCGGCUCAUCACAUCCUGGGGCUGAAGUAGGUCCCAAGGGUAUGGCUGUUCGCCAUUUAAAGUGGUACGCGAGCUGGGUUUAGAACGUCGUGAGACAGUUCGGUCCCUAUCUGCCGUGGGCGCUGGAGAAUUGAGGGGGGCUGCUCCUAGUACGAGAGGACCGGAGUGGACGCAUCACUGGUGUUCGGGUUGUCAUGCCAAUGGCACUGCCCGGUAGCUAAAUGCGGAAGAGAUAAGUGCUGAAAGCAUCUAAGCACGAAACUUGCCCCGAGAUGAGUUCUCCCUGAGACUUUAAGUCUCCUGAAGGAACGUUAAAGACGAUGACGUUGAUAGGCCGGGUGUGUAAGCGCAGCGAUGCGUUGAGCUAACCGGUACUAAUGAACCGUGAGGCUUAACCUUACAACGCCGAAG